UACGGAGGGUGCAAGCGUUAAUCGGAAAUACUGGGCGUGAAGCGCACGCAGGCGGUCUGUCAAGUCGGAUGUGAAAUCCCCGGGCUCAACCUGGGAACUGCAUCCGAAACUGGCAGGCUAGAGUACUGUAGAGGGGGGUAGAAUUCCAGGUGUAGCAGUGAAAUGCGUAGAGAUGUGGAGGAAUACCGGUGGCGAAGGCGGUCCCCUGGACAAAGACUGACGCUCAUGUGCGAAAGCGUGGGGAGCAAACAGG
rnacentral:misc_RNA from 1 species